GAAUUUUGGACAAUGGGCGAAAGCCUGAUCCAGCAAUGCCGCGUGAGUGAUGAAGGCCUUAGGGUUGUAAAGCUCUUUUACCCGGGAUGAUAAUGACAGUACCGGGAGAAUAAGCUCCGGCUAACUCCGUGCCAGCAGCCGCGGUAAUACGGAGGGAGCUAGCGUUAUUCGGAAUUACUGGGCGUAAAGCGCACGUAGGCGGCUUUGUAAGUUAGAGGUGAAAGCCUGGAGCUCAACUCCAGAAUUGCCUUUAAGACUGCAUCGCUCGAAUCCGGGAGAGGUGAGUGGAAUUCCGAGUGUAGAGGUGAAAUUCGUAGAUAUUCGGAAGAACACCAGUGGCGAAGGCGGCUCACUGGACCGGGAUUGACGCUGAGGUGCGAAAGCGUGGGGAGCAAACAG
rnacentral:rRNA from 1 species